AGCUCCAAUAGCGUAUACUAAAGUUGUUGCAGUUAAAAAGCUCGUAGUUGGAUUUCUGUGUUGGGCAACUCGGUGCGUGACCUCAUCGGUCUAGCGCUGGAGUGACCUGGCACAUCCUGCCUUCAACCCCGCUGGCCUUAAUUGGUUGGCGGUGGAGAGGGGCUCGUUUACUUUGAGUAAAACAGAGUGUUCAAAGCAGGCUUAAAGCCUUGAAUGACUUAGCAUGGAAUAAUAACAAAGGACCUUGGUUCUUUUUGUUGGUAUUCGGCACUGAGGUAAUGAUUGAUAGGGACAGUUGGGGGCGUCAGUAUUCCAGGGUCAGAGGUGAAAUUCAUAGAUUCUUGGAAGACUAGCAGAUGCGAAAGCGUUCGCCACGGAUGUACUCUUUGAUCAAGAACGA
rnacentral:rRNA from 1 species